rnacentral:rRNA from 1 species
AACGAACGCUGGCGGCAGGCUUAACACAUGCAAGUCGAACGCCCCGCAAGGGGAGUGGCAGACGGGUGAGUAACACGUGGGAACAUGCCCAAAGGUACGGAACAACUCCGGGAAACUGGAGCUAAUACCGUAUGUGCCCGAAAGGGGAAAGAUUUAUCGCCUUUGGAUUGGCCCGCGUCGGAUUAGCUAGUUGGUGGGGUAAAAGCCUACCAAGGCGACGAUCCGUAGCUGGUUUGAGAGAACGACCAGCCACACUGGGACUGGGACACGGCCCAGACUCCUACGGGAGGCAGCAGUGGGGAAUCUUGGACAAUGGGCGCAAGCCUGAUCCAGCCAUGCCUCGUGUAUGAUGAAGGCCUUAGGGUUGUAAAAUCCUUUCGUUGGGGACGAUAAUGACGGUACCCAAAGAAGAAGCCCCGGCUAACUUCGUGCCAGCCGCCGCAGUAAUAC